CCUACGGGUGGCAGCAGUGGGGAAUAUUGGACAAUGGGCGAAAGCCUGAUCCAGCCAUGCCGCGUGUGUGAAGAAGGCCUUCGGGUUGUAAAGCACUUUCAGUGGGGAAGAAAGCCUUGGGGCUAAUACCCUCGAGGAAGGACAUCACCCACAGAAGAAGCACCGGCUAACUCCGUGCCAGCAGCCGCGGUAAUACGGAGGGUGCGAGCGUUAAUCGGAAUUACUGGGCGUAAAGCGCGCGUAGGCGGUCUGAUAAGCCGGUUGUGAAAGCCCCGGGCUCAACCUGGGAACGGCAUCCGGAACUGUGAGGCUAGAGUGUAGGAGAGGAAGGUAGAAUUCCCGGUGUAGCGGUGAAAUGCGUAGAGAUCGGGAGGAAUACCAGUGGCGAAGGCGGCCUUCUGGACUGACACUGACGCUGAGGUGCGAAAGCGUGGGUAGCAAACAGGAUUAGAUACCCUAGUAGUC
rnacentral:rRNA from 1 species